GGCUAUAUAGCUUAACGGUAAAGUACUCCUUUAAUUAAAGAAAAAGUCUAGGUUUAAGUCUUAGUAUAGUUA
rnacentral:tRNA from 1 species